CUCACACACACACUCACACACUCACACACUCACACACACACUCACACACACACACACUCACACACACACUCACACACACACACUCAGCAGGGAGAAGCUGUCUGAUUUGACAGUGUCAGGUGUUUGACUGUACCUUGUCUGAAUGUCUGGGUUAAAUGCUGGUUAUCGGUGACCGUGCCGCUCCGCGGGUGUCUGACUGCCUGAGGCUACAGACCGAGGCGUCAGAUGAGGAGAGCAGUGGAUUAGAUCUGAGACGGUCCGAUUUGUGAAGGGAUAGAGGUACAAAAGAGUCUUCCCCUGAGGGAGCACUGACGGGAAAACCUUUCAUUAUCACCGGCCCUGUGUCGCCUGAUAACGAAAUUAGAUUGGAUCGGGGAACGUGAGUACUUUCUGUCACUCUUGCUCUUGCUCGCGUUCUUGGCUUUUCUUUGUCUUCCACAGCCGUCCUCAGAAGCAUUCUCAACACGUUCUCCUGGUUUUUAGAUGCCGAUCGGAGCCACACCAGACAAAGCGACGCCACCUGCCGAGCUGAGUCGACGCCGUCAGUUUAACUUACAGACAAAAAGCAGGCGUGCAGAGCGUCGUGCGUUUCAUUUCGGCUGCCAUGAUGAACAGCCCUUUUGUUCUUAACGGCCACGUGCAAUGAACACAGACUGGAGCUGGCGGGGGCCGCGGCGCGGCACACACACCGGGGGAGGUCAAGCCACGGCCGGUCGGGGAGGUGGCCGCCGUGCACACGGGCAGCGUAGGAGCGCAACUGUGUGAAGCGGAGGAGAGGUGGAGGCGUUAACAACUGGGAUUCAAGUUGGAAAUCCAAAGGAAGACAUUGCUGAAUCAAUGUUUGAAAUGUCUCAGACGUAACCUUAAACACGCAGAAAUAUUCACCAACAUUUUCAACUCAUAAUUUUGGAGGGGAGACUCUCACCUGUGCCACACAAUCCUCCAUCAUGAGUAGAAAUAACCCAGUGGCUCAAACUCAAUAAGAAGGUGACCCAGCAGGAUGUGAAGAAAGAGAACCCGCUGCAGUUCAAGUUCAGAGCCAAAUUCUUCCCCGAGGAUGUUUCAGAGGAGCUAAUCCAGGAGAUCACCCAGAGACUCUUCUUUCUGCAG